CAUAUUUGGAGAGGAGCACUAUGACGACAACCUCCGGAACCUAGGCAUCGAAGAUAGCGGACACGCGAGAUAGGAGUUAUCCAGGUCAGUCUAUGAAUCGCUUCCGCCAUCAGCCACUAGAAACCUUUGUUGUACUCCAUAGACCAUCAUGGUCUUGUACUCCAAAUUUUGUAAAUGCUUGGAUAUUUUGUAUCAAGGAUGUGUCCAUCAGCUAACCUUGGAUAUUUUGUAUCAAGGAUGUGUCCAUCAGCUAACCUUGGUAUCAGUAAUCUCGGGGAUGGUGAGCACAAAGGUCAUUUUUUGGGAAAUUUAUAUCUCGGAAAUCCGGCCCUGAUAACCUUAGUAUCAGAGCCAGUCUAACCAUUGGCUAAUCCUAUCUUAGCCGGGUCAAUAAACCCUAGGUUACCACCCAUCCAAGCCUUAUCCUACCCAUAGCCAAGCCUAUCCUAACUGAUAGCAUGUAUAGUGAUAAUCAUCACCUUUCAGCAGCCGAUGCCCAACCGAUGAGACUAGCCGAGCGGUCACAUGCCUGUGACCAACACCUGAGUUGUCCCAUCCGCAAGUGUGCAAGAGAAGAUUAUGUUUUCUUUCUAUAAAGGAAACGUUUUCUCCAACCCACUACACCACAACCACCUUCCAAAUCCCAAACCGCCAAGAUGUCGGUCCCCGUUGUAUACAAUGAGACCACCGCAUCUGAGCUUGGAGAUUUUGUAGAUGUUCUUGCCAACCUCAGCUGUCGUGGCUUUACCAUAGAAGAGCCCCUGGAAUAUGUUGUGUACCAGCAGCACACGAGUAAUGGCAUCCAUCACUUCCGGGCAAUGGUGCACAUCUACGACAGGGGUAUCUCGCCAGAAUGCCCUUACCAGUUCACCAGAAGGACAACUUCCUAUGAGCCACAAGCCAUCCAGCUAGCAGCUCAACAGGCUAUAGUUCAAAACCGGCACGUGUCAUCGAGGGUUAACUGCCGCUCGUUUUACUACUACCCCUAGCCAUGAAAGUAAUACUAGGCCGCUCCAAAUCGCCAACGGAGACCAUGAGACGGACCCCACCCCGUUGCAUCUUGUGCGCUACAUGAGAGCACAAGAGGCACUGUUCAAGUAGGUCACCGUCGACCUGAUUGCAACUCACGGAAAGCUAGCUCGCCUCACCCCGAGAAGAAGAGAAGCUGCACCCGAUGCCACCAAACCAAUGAUGUUGUUCGGGAGAUCGAUCGAGCCCUCGAGGUCUAUGCCUGCUGCCGACCCAAAUCAUGCGUCCGUCUCCGUGGAAGAGCUCCGUCACAUUUUGGGGAUUUUCUCCAACGGGACGGUAACCACCGCACCCCGUGAUGGACAUCAUCGCUACCCCAGCCAUGUAACUCCACAUUCUACCCGAGUCGACCGCGACAUCGAAGUCCCAGAAGCCUCGACGUCCGCAAGUCCCGCCCGACUAGAUGUCAAGGAAGUAGACUAAGCCACUAGAGUAGUAACCCAAAUUUAGUAUUCCUACGCCCUGCAAUAUUGUGAGCUUGUAUUUUCAUGAGUAAAUUGCAGGACAUUUGUGUACCAUUAUUUUUAAAUAGGACCACCUGUACCUGUGUAAGUAUCUUUUGACUUCUAUCUAUAAAGAAAAAAUUGGGUGAAACAACCAGGAACCAACCUGGUCGACAACCAUAGUAAUAUGUCACAUUUAGUGAAUUAUAUGUGUGGCUUUGACCCGACCACGUUAGAGCAUAACGACAACCGAGAUCGACCACCCUGAAAUGUGUGCGCUAGCCAAACCCUAUAUAAGGAGUCACCCAAUAACCAUCCCCAGCGCCCUCACCUUGUGCAUUGCCUUCACAACCAUUUUUCCCCAUGUCGCGCCUUGGGAUUCAUUUGAGAACCCCGGGGAGUUUUGCUAAGAUAUUGUGGGAUUUUACCCACAGUGCCAUGGGUUGUCCCCACCGACCCUAGUACGAACUGUUCAAAUUAAGGAUCACUUCCACCACCACAAAAAAUUGGGCCGUUGCGCAGAUCCCACCAGUAGAUCCAAACCAAGACCCUACGAAAGUUUCCUUCAUCGGGAAAUGUAUGCCCACUCCAGAAAUGGUCAUAGAGGUUGCUGCCUGCGAAGCAAUUACCCGCCUUCAAUUUGCAGUACCCUAUGCCAGUGAAUUGGGGUAUUAUUACUUUUCGAGCCCUGUAGCACCCAGAGAAGCAGCGUCUUUUCCCAGCACCCGAGCAAAGAGAGAUUCGGUGUUAUCAAGCUUGUGCAGUAUGUCAUCGCUCAAGAGCGUUUGACCCAGCAAGUGAUGGAUUUCCUUCAUACCAUUGUUGUUAUGAAUCCUCAUAUCGCCAUUGGCAGGCCUCUAAGGCCAAACCAAGAAGGACACGUUGUGCGAGUCCUCCAUCCGCUCUCCCCGAAGGACGAAGGAUAUACCCCACUCCCGGGAAUAUUUCCUCAUGACCUAUAUUUUUUUCCUGUACCGUAGACGCCAUGGUUGUAAUCAUUAGCAUAGCUUUUGAUUGUAUGAUGUGAUAUCUGUGUUGUGUUUUAUAAUUUACUAUAUGGGUAUCUUAUGUCAAUUGCAGUUGUUUUGUUGCUAUGAUUUGAAAAUCGAUUGUUUCUUAUUGUAGCAAAUCUCAGGGUGAGAUUUUAUUAAAAGACCAGUGCGACAAAAACUUUUCCAGCAUAAAUUUAAAUUGCAUGCCCUCACGUGGUCCGGCUCACAUCCACACUAGAGUUGCACCAAUUAUUAACUUUUUCACUGUAACCACGUCACAUAGUGUGAGUAGAAUAUUUAUUCUCAUGUUAUUACUGGAUUGCAGUGGGAGUAAAGCUUUUGCUACCACCUUAGAAAAUCUCAAGGACAAGAUUUUUCUUAAGGGGGUAGAGUUUGUAACACCCCAAAAAAUUUAUCAUGUUUUUAUUAAUUAAAAUUUUGUUAGGGAUAUUAAUUUUUAUUUUCUAGAUCCUCUAUUGGUUUUAGAACCAUCCUUUUUCUUUGAAAUUAUAAAAUUUUCCCCUCCAAAUAGAAACCUUUGAAAAAUAUUGUGCGGCUUGAAUGUUUGAAUUAAAAGUAUUUCAUUUCAUUUUUAAAAAUUCAGGGAGAAAUAUUUUUAUAAUGAAGCUUGCCAAAUUUAAUUAUUUUAAUGGCCUUUUUGAAUUCUUUAAAGGGCCUCCAUUGCACUACAACCAUUUUAAUUAUUCAUUUAAAGACCCCAUAAAAAUUUGGAGAUGUCUUGUGAUGCCUAUAGAUCACUCUUAUGCAAAAACCCAUCUUGGCCUUUUGAAAAUUUUGAGCAAACCAUGCUCAUCUGAAUUAUGUUCCAGUUUAGUGGUUUGAACUGCAACCCUAUUUUAUUUUCCCAUAAUCAUCAUGAGAUAUUUCCUUCUUACAUUCCACCCUACCAACCCCUUAAGUACAUGAGUUUAGCUCCAUUGGACUAUUUUAAGCCCAUGUAAUUAACCUAUGGAGUUCCUGUCUAGAAAUGAAGUUUUGUAAAACUUGCACUAACUAGUUUCUGUUUUUCUCAAACUAACCAUGCCAUCCUCAUUAGCACCUAAAGAGGCUCCAUCAUUCUGUCGAGCACCCUGGGUGCAUGGCGGGAUUUGGCAUGCUCCUAACCUUGCCUUAGAAACUUGUUUCCCUGGCCUAACUAACAUGUCCCCUAGCCUUCCCUUGCCCAUAAACCUAGAACAGUCAAGCCUCAAUUGCAUCUGAGCCCCCUGGCGUAUCCUGGCUUUUUGUUGAACACCGGAUGCACAUGCUCGAAACACGAGAAGAGCACGCGCAUUGUGUUGGGGAACAUUGCACGGGAAACAAAAAAAUUCCUACGCUCACCAAGAUCAAUCUAGGAGAUGCACAUCUACGAGGGGAGAGAUUGUAUCUACAUAUCCUUGUAGAUCGCUAAGAGAAACCUUUAAAGAACGCGGUUGAUGUAGUUGAACGUCUUCGCGAUCCAAAUCGCAAUUCGUCCCGUGAUCCCAUCACGAUCCAUCCUGAUCUAGUGCCGAACGGACGACAUCUCCGCGUUCAGCACACGUACAACUCGAUGGCGUUCUCCGCCUCCUUGAUCCAACAAGCGAGGAAGGAGAGGUUGAUGAGUUCUCUAGCAGCGCGACGGCGUGACAGUGGUGGUGGUGUUGUUGUCCCGGCAGGGCUACACCUAGAUCUAUCGAAGCUGCGAAAACGAUCUAGGGAGAGAGAGGGGCGCCAAGGGCUUCGUGUGUCCUCUCGGGGUGCCCCUCCCCUCUAUAUAUAUAGGUGGAGGGGCGUGGGUGUGACAGCCCGAGACCGACGCCCCAGAAGAUUUCCCUUUUUAUUCCGUUGCCGUCCUGUGAUUAGGUUGUCUGUUGCAUUCAUCUUCGCAUCAUGCACAUCAUCUGCAUUGCAUCGGCACUCCGUUGCCGCCAGUUUUCAAAACUUGCAUCCGUUAUUAGUUGCGGUUCUCUUCGUUCUCGUCGUUGACCGUGUUGAGCCCGACCACACACGCACGUACCCGCGGCAUCGUUAAAAUAUUUGGUUUUAAAAGUGUGUAUAAAAUAUUUCCGGAUUGAGUCGAAACUUGGCGUGCGGUCUUAUUUUAAUAUAGGUAGGCCGCCUGCCAAUUUUCGUCGUAAUCGGAGUUCGUCUGGUACCCGAACGGUCGACCAUAGCGGCACCGUCUUCGGUUAUCGUCGGACGUUUUUCGGUUUUAAAAUAUUGUUGCCGGGUCGCACCAUUCCCAUCUCGUAUCAGCCUACACCCCUCUACACGGCCUAACCUAACCCUAGGACGUUUCCGGAGCGUCCGAUCGAGAUUGGAGAGUCCGAAAACGCCCUGAUUAGCUAACCCUAGCCCAUGUGUCUAUAAAAGACACCAAACUCUUCUUCCACCUCGGUUCCCAUGCCACCCUAACCCUAGCCGUCGCAGCCUCCUCCCACCUUCUCUCUCCUCCCAGCCGCCAGGGCCCGCCAGGCCCGCAGCAGGCCCUCCGGGGCCCGAACCACCGCUGCUAGCCCGCGCACCCAAGCGCCUUCACCCCGAGCGCUGCUCCCGCUCGGCCAUCACCGAGGCAACGCCAGCGCGUUCAGCUCCCGUCACCUCCCCACGCAGGUGCAUCACCGGACCGCCGUGCCGCCCUUGCAGCUCGUCGGAGCUCCACGAGGCCGCCUCGCCUCGCUCCUCUCCCUUCUUCUUCCUUCCUCUUCUUCUCCCUCACGACCUCUCUCUCUUCCGUGAGCCCCGACCAAAGUCCCUACGCCGCGUGGUGCCCUGCCGCCGGUGAUCCAGCCGCUGUCGGAGCCCGUCCGCCGUCGGUUCCUACUGCCGAGUUCCCCCGCACUGCCCCGCGCCAGCGCCACAGCGCCCCGCCUCCUCGAUCCAAUCGGAUAGGGACGGGUAGGAGCGCCUGGCCGUUGACCGCGCCAUGCCAGACUGCGUCCCCGUGGGCCGCCUCCCUGCCUCGCGCGCUCGACCGCGCCAGUCGCCCCCUGGGCCGGCCAGCUUGCCCCUCCGCUGGCCCAGCCGGCCUCCCCUGGUCUUGGCCCAGUCGAACCAAGCCGGCCUGCUCACCUCCUCUCCAGGCCGGCCCAGGAGCCACGGUGAGCUGAUUCCCCCCCAGCCGUCUAUUUAGCGCCCGUGCGCCGUUUAGCUAUCCCGCGCCCAUGUCCUGUUUUGGGCCUGUAGCCAGAUUCUGCCCAGUAGUAUUAUUUUAGGUUUUUUCGGAUUUAUUAUUUUCAGGAAAAGAAGUAUUUUAAAAUGGUCGCAACUUUUAAACGUGCAUCGGGUCGGAAAGAAUUAUAUAUGUAACUUGUGUAGAAUUUCACGUAGAACAUUAUUUUGCAACUUGCAUGCAUGUUUGGAGUGGUUUGACCGUCGUUUUCCUAGAAUAUAUGUGAUGUCCUAUUAGGGUUAUAUUUCCGUAGCUAUUUUUGUGCGCGUCCGGAUUGCUCAAAUUACAUCGAUAAAAUGUUCAUGUUGUUCGGGACCCUUUGCCAUGUAUUUUAGAGUAGUUGCUUGCAUUUUUUGCAUGUAGGAGCUAUCAAUAGUUUGCUAUAUCGUGUUUAGGACAUAUUCUCGCAUAUAUGUGUGACGUUAGUUUUAUUUUGCAACCCCACAUAUUAUAUAUGUUUUCAGGGUAAAAAUCCGUAUAAUUUAACUGUGCAAUUAGUUUUUCCUUUCGAGUAAGUUAGUGCGCGUGAUAUUUCUGCCAUGUUGCCCUCUUGUCUAUUUUGUGGAAUUUAUUCCGUGCAUGAUUGAUACGUCUCCAACUUAUCUACAAUUUUUGAUGGUUCCAUGCUAUUAUCUUAUCAAACUUUGGAUGUUUUGUAUGCCUUUUAUAUUUUUUUGGACUAACUUAUUAACUCAGUGCCAAGUGCCAGUUCAUGUUUUUUUCGUGUUUUUGAUCCCUUUCAGAGGAGGAUUUCAAACAGUGUCCAAACGGAAUAAAACUUCUAAAAAGAUUUUUUCGAAACAGAAGAUACGCACGGGACGUGAGAACCAAGGCAGAGGCCACCAAGGGACGCCACAAGCCCCCUAGGCGCGGCCAGGGGGCCCGCGCCUAGCAGGCUUGUGGGUCCCGUGUGGCUCGUUUGCCCUACCUCUUCCGCCUAUAAAUUCCUGAAAAAUCCAAAACUGCGCGAGAGAUCCACGAAAAUACUUUUCCGCCGCCGCAAGCUUCUGUCUCCGCAAGAUCCCAUCUAAGGCACGUUCUGGUGCCUUGCCGGAGGGGGGAUUCGGAUACAGAGGGCUUCUUCAUCAACACCAUGACCUCUCCGAUGAUGCGUGAUUAGUUCACCACAGACCUUCAGGUCCAUAGCUAGUAGCUAGAUGACUUCUUCUCUCUCUUGUAUCUUCAAUACAAAGUUCUCCAUGAUCUUCAUGGAGAUCUAUCCGAUGUAAUCUUCUUUUGUGGUGUGUUUGUCGAGAUCCGAUGAAUUGUGGAUUUAUGAUCAGAUUAUCUAUGAAUCUUAUUUGAGUUUCUUCUGAUCUCUUAUAUGCAUGAUUUCAUAUCCUU
rnacentral:lncRNA from 1 species